UUCGUUCUCUGUAGUUAACUCGUCGGCCUCCUAAGCCGAAGAUUCUCGGUUCGAGUCCGAGGUGCGGUG